UUUAAUAAAAUAUAAAAAUAGAAAUCUUAAUUAAAUCCUAUUAAAAUCCUAACUAAAUUCUAAAUAAAUCUUAGUCAAACCUUAACCAAAUCCUAAUCAAAUUUUAGUCAAAUCUUAACAAAAUCCUAACCAAAUCCUAACCAAAUUCUAACCAAAUCCUAGUCAAAUCCUUAUAAAUCUUAAUCAAAUCCUAAUAAAUCAUAAUGAAAUCCUAAUGAAAUCUUAAACAAACCUUAAUCAAAUCUUAGUCAAGCCCUAAAUAAUUCUUAAGCAAAUCUUAAUCAAAUCCUCAAUAAAACCUAAUCUAAGCUUAACUAAAUCCUAAUCAAAUCCUAGUCAAAUCUUAACUAAAUCUUAAUCAAAUACUAAUAAAAUCCUAAUCAAAUCCUAACCAAAUCCUAACCAAAUUCUAACCAAAUCCUAACCAAAUCCUAACCAAAUCCUAAUCAAAUUCUAAUCAAUUAUAAAUAAAUCCUAAAUAAAUCCUAAUCAAAUCUUAAUCAAAUCUUAGUCAAAUCCUAACCAAAUCCUAACCAAAUCCUAACUAAAUCCUAACCAAGCCCUAACCAAAUUCUAACUAAGUCUUAACCAAAUCCUAGUCAAAUCUUAACCAAAUCCUAAUCAGAUCUAAAUAAAUCUUAGACAAAUCCUAAACAAAUUCUAACCAAAUCCUAGUAAAAUUCUAAUAAAUCCUAAUCAAAUACUAAUCAAAUCUUAAAAAAAAAUUAAUCAAAUCCUAAUCAAAUCUUAAACAAAUCCUAAUCAAAUUCUAAUCAAAUCCUAAAUAAAUCCUAAUCAAAUCCUAACCAAAUUCUAAUCAAUCCAAAAUAAAUCUUAAUCAAACCUUAAACAAAUUCUAGCCAAAUCCUAAUCAGAUCCUAACAAAUCCUAACCAAAUCCUAAAAAAACCUAAAUAAAUCUUAACCAAAUCCUAAUCAAAUCCUAAACAUAUUCUAACAAAAUCCUAAAUAAUUCAAGUAAUU
rnacentral:lncRNA from 1 species